UACAGAGGCCCCAAGCGUUACUGAGAAUCACUGGGUUUAAAGGGUGCGUAGGGGGCGCGUUAAGUCCGUUGUGAAAUCCCUGGGCUCAACCCAGGAAAUGCUUCGGAUACUGGCGUGCUUGAGGCUAGUAGGGGUCACUGGAACUGACGGUGGAGCGGUGAAAUGCGUAGAUAUCGUCAGGAACGCCAAUGGUGAAGACAGGUGACUGGGCUAGAUCUGACACUGAGGCACGAAAGCGUGGGGAGCGAACGGG
rnacentral:rRNA from 1 species